GACGAACGCUGGCGGCGUGCUUAACACAUGCAAGUCGAACGGUGAAGCGCCUUCCUUUUUGGUGGGUGUGGAUGAGUGGCGAACGGGUGAGUAACACGUGAGUAACCUGCCCCCUUCUUCUGGAAAACCGCAUGAAAGUGUGGCUAAUACGGGAUAUUCUGGGUCUGUCGCAUGAUGGGUCUGGGAAAGAUAUUGUUUCGGUGGGGGAUGGGCUCGCGGCCUAUCAGCUUGUUGGUGGGGUGAUGGCCUACCAAGGCGGUGACGGGUAGCCGGCCUGAGAGGGUGGACGGUCACACUGGGACUGAGACACGGCCCAGACUCCUACGGGAGGCAGCAGUGGGGAAUAUUGCACAAUGGGCGCAAGCCUGAUGCAGCGACGCCGCGUGAGGGAUGGAGGCCUUCGGGUUGUGAACCUCUUUCGCCAGUGAAGCAGGCCUGCCUCGUUUGUGGGUGGGUUGACGGUAGCUGGAUAAGAAGCGCCGGCUAACUACGUG
rnacentral:rRNA from 1 species